CAGUCGCCGCGGUAAUACGUAGGUGGCAAGCGUUGUCCGGAAUUAUUGGGCGUAAAGGGCUCGCGGGCGGUUUCCUAAGUCUGAUGUGAAAGCCCCCGGCUCAACCGGGGAGGGUCAUUGGAAACUGGGAAACUUGAGUGCAGAAGAGGAGAGUGGAAUUCCACGUGUAGCGGUGAAAUGCGUAGAGAUGUGGAGGAACACCAGUGGCGAAGGCGGCUUUCUGGACUGCAACUGACACUGAGGUACGAAAGCGUGGGGAGCAAACAGGAUUAGAUACCCGGGUAGUCCCUGUCUCUUAUAA
rnacentral:rRNA from 1 species